CAGCGCCGCGGUAAUACGUAGGGUGCGAGCGUUAAUCGGAAUUACUGGGCGUAAAGCGUGCGCAGGCGGUUUUGUAAGACAGGCGUGGAAUCCCCGGGCUCAACCUGGGAAUGGCGCUUGUGACUGCAAAGCUAGAGUGCGGCAGAGGGGGAUGGAAUUCCGCGUGUAGCAGUGAAGUGCGUAGAUACGCGGAGGAACACCGAUGGCGAAGGCAAUCCCCUGGGCCUGCACUGACGCUCAUGCACGAAAGCGUGGGGAGCAAACAGGAUUAGAUACCCCCGUAGUCCCUGUCUCUUAUACC
rnacentral:rRNA from 1 species